GAUGAACGCUGGCGGCGUGCUUAACACAUGCAAGUCGAACGAAGCACUUUCAAUUGAUUCUUCGGAAAAAAGAGAUUGUGACUGAGUGGCGGACGGGUGAGUAACGCGUGGGUAACCUGCCUCAUACAGGGGGAUAACAGUUAGAAAUGACUGCUAAUACCGCAUAAGCGCACAGUACCGCAUGGUACGGUGUGAAAAACUCCGGUGGUAUGAGAUGGACCCGCGUCUGAUUAGCUAGUUGGCAGGGUAACGGCCUACCAAGGCGACGAUCAGUAGCCGGCCUGAGAGGGUGAACGGCCACAUUGGGACUGAGACACGGGCCCAAACUCCUACGGGAGGCAGCAGUGGGGAAUAUUGCACAAUGGGGGAAACCCUGAUGCAGCGACGCCGCGUGAGCGAAGAGUA
rnacentral:rRNA from 1 species